rnacentral:rRNA from 1 species
GAAAGCUUGCUUUCUUUGCUGGCGACCGGCGCACGGGUGAGUAACACGUAUCCAACCUGCCCUUUACUCGGGGAUAGCCUUUCGAAAGAAAGAUUAAUACCCGAUGGGAUAAUUAUUCCGCAUGGUUUGAUUAUUAAAGGAUUCCGGUAAAGGAUGGGGAUGCGUUCCAUUAGGUUGUUGGUGAGGUAACGGCUCACCAAGCCUUCGAUGGAUAGGGGUUCUGAGAGGAAGGUCCCCCACAUUGGAACUGAGACACGGUCCAAACUCCUACGGGAGGCAGCAGUGAGGAAUAUUGGUCAAUGGGCGCUAGCCUGAACCAGCCAAGUAGCGUGAAGGAUGAAGGCUCUAUGGGUCGUAAACUUCUUUUAUAUAAGAAUAAAGUGCAGUAUGUAUACUGUUUUGUAUGUAUUAUAUGAAUAAGGAUCGGCUAACUCCGUGCCAGCAGCCGCGGUAAUACGGAGGAUCCGAGCGUUAUCCGGAUUUAUUGGGUUUAAAGGGAGCGUAGGUGGACAGUUAAGUCAGUUGUGAAAGUUUGCGGCUCAACCGUAAAAUUGCAGUUGAUACUGGCUGUCUUGAGUACAGUAGAGGUGGGCGGAAUUCGUGGUGUAGCGGUGAAAUGCUUAGAUAUCACGAAGAACUCCGAUUGCGAAGGCAGC